GCGGCUUCUGAGAGGUGGAAGAGAGGGGUGUGGCAAAGCAGCAAGGAAGGGGGUCUGGGGUCCAGCCCAGCUGGGACGGUGAAGGUUCCCUGUUCAAGGCCACGGUGGAUGAAGUCCCCAAGAGGGAAGUAAAUGCCACCUGUGAUCUGGGAGAGAAAGAGAAUCAAAGGAUGCAGAAGCUGCUGCCUCCUGCCCUUACCACAGCCAUCCUGGGAAC
rnacentral:lncRNA from 1 species